CCUGAGAGAGAUGGGAGCCCCUCUGUGAAGAAGAGCUCCUUCACAGAGUCUGUGUUUAUCUGUGUUGGUCUUGUUCUCCAGAAAUCUGUCAGACUUGUGCCCAGCUGAUGAAACACUAAAUUGCUAAACUUUAGACAACAAAACCAGAGUGAGAGGGGGAAAGCACCCAUGUCCAUCAGAAUGCCCAUCAACCACAAGAACCAAUGAACUGGAGGGGGAAAGAAAAGGGCUGGGCUGGGGCGGCGAUGCCAGGAAGGACAAGCCGGCGCAGGUUAAAAGAGAGAGAAGAGAAGAGAAGAAAAAUUGAAGAGAGAGAUAAAGAGAUAGAGGAAAAACUCAGCUACGGCUACAAGAGCGAGGAGGAACCUUUCGACG